CCCCCAGGGAUGCAGGCAGACACAGGACCACGGGGCUGUCCCUGCACCGUCCUGGGAGCCCCCUGUUCACUGCGGGGGGCUGAAGGGGAGCAGGCUGGGUGCUGAUGUCCCAGGGGGUGAGCAUCGUGCUGGAGCCCAGCGCUGCCGCAGGAGGGUGCAGGGGUGUCUGCUGCUCCCGGCUGUGUCCCAGACGAGACCUCAUACGGCCUUAGCGAAGUCUGGGAAGGCAGGAGAGAGACGACCGGCUGUAUUUUUUUGUUGUUUUUUUUGUUUUCCUUCCUCUCUUCUCCCUCUGUCUCAUGAGCUGGCAGGGAUCGGCGACGUUUUAAUCAAACUUGGCACGGGAUGAUAGGAAAAGGAGGAAGGCGGAGAUCUGUAGGAGGCCAGGAGUGCCCUGGGAAAGGCAGCAGAGGGGAGGGAGGCAGCACAGGACCUUAGCAAGUCCUCGCUGGACCCGAGCUGGGGAUGACACCCGCAGCAAACCCUUCCCGAGAGCCGGAGCAGGGGCGAGCAGCCCCAUCCCUCGGGAGCUGGCUGUGCACGUGCUGCUCCCCUCAUUAUUCCUUUUCUUUCUUUCCUCCUUUAAAUAGGUGGCAUCCUUGGCACGGGGAUCCCAUCCCCUUCCAACACACAUCGCUCUGGACGUGGCAGUGCACUCGGUGCCACCGCAGGGGCGCAGCAAUGGGUGAUAAUUUAUGGUGUAAGGAGCUGGGAGGAGGAGGAGAUGCUGGGGAUGGGGGAAAGAGGGAGAGGCAGGGACCGUCCUCCCCUGGUCCUGGGGGUGUGUGAACCAGGGAGAGGUGGGGAUGAAGCGUCCUUGCUGAACAGCCAGCUCCACGCACGGACUGCUCCAUGCUCCCGAGUGCACGGCGCCCAUCUGCAGUCCCAAUUCCUCUCCUAACUUUACCCAUCUGCCAAAACACACCCUUUGGCUGUGCUCUGCUGAGGAGGAAGCUUCAAGAGGGACAAAAAAGGAUUUGGGCUCCCUUCUGAUGCCAGGACUUCAUCUUAGCUUGGGAAAACAGAUCUGUCCUGCUGAGGGUGACUCGCCCUGGCCAAGGGACAGCCGGGGCAGUGACCGCGGUGCAGGGCAGCGAGAAACAAAAGGGAAAUAAAUCAUCAAACUGCUUCGAGGUUUUCCUCUUUUUUACGUUCAGCUUCACAACUUCUUGCAGACCAAACGUUGCUUUUCACUGCUGGGUGGACACAGCAGCUGUAACAUUUUUUAACAGCACCUUCCCUUUCUACAUACCGGCCUAGCUGUGAUCUGUAUUGAUUUUUCCACCUGUUUCUGUUUCAUCACUGAUAUUGCUGAAAAACUUAAGCUAUUUCGGGGAUGUAGGGGCACUCCGCUGCUCGUUUGUUUUCUGUUUCAGCCCGAUGACAUUAAUCGGGUUUGCAUGAUCUUUUCAUUAAGGGGGGCGGGCUAAACAGCACUUUGGUUAAAAAAUAUCCCCGCACACUCACAGGGUACUCACAGCACCCGGCCCUCAUCCAGCAAGCCUAAUUAUACCGGAGGCAAUGAACUCAGCUAAGGACAGCGGGAUGCCUUGGAGUGACACCAGGCACGCAUGAGCACAGAUGCUGUCGGGGUAGGAAAUAUCUCCUUCAUCAAACUCGAGAGGAAGCGCUGGCUGCCAGCAGGCACGGCGAACCUACUUUCGUUACCUAAAAAAAUUGUCGGCACACGGGGAGUACAGGGUUUUGCAGCAUUCUCAAAAAUCUGGUUGUUAAUUCUGAUUCCAUCUCUUCAGGCUCUGACAGUGUUGUGGCUUGGGUUCCUUUGUUGUUUUUCUUUCUUUCUUUUUUUUUAAAUUUUCGAAAUAUUCUCCUUUUCCCACAUAGAGGGAAUGCUCCCCGCCUUUCUCUUAUUCCGUGGAGGGGACUAAAAAGCCAAAUUAGAAGAAUGAGAAGAAAGUCAGGCUCGCUGUUAUUAGCCAACCCAUCUUCUUACAGCAUUAGGAUUCACAAGAUAAUAUUCCCACAGUUGUACUUGGGCACGGGAAAAUGGACCAUUAGCCAGAAAUUGUCUUGGAUUUGUCUGGGUGGGGAAAAAUAUAAAGCUAAUGCCCUCUUGUGGCUCCUUACAGCAAAGUGUGUGGCUGCAGGGUGCUAGCACUCUUCUCACCUUUUGGUUGUUACGGGGUAGGAAAAAUAAUAGGGACUGGCUCCUGCCCCUUGCCUUCGAUGUGAUGCUGAGGGCUUCAGAUGCAGGUUGGGGAGCCGGGGGCAUCUUUUGCCUUGCAGAGGGCUCAGGGCAGAGGCUGGGAGCCCCGGGCAGGGCUGGGGUGAGGCUGUGGCAUGGGGAUCCCAGGCUGCUGGGGCUGGAACACGGCAGCAAACCUCGUCUGCAGGGCAGCUUCCCAGCGCCGGGCCUUGGCAGAUUGUUCCCUUGCAGAAAGCAGCGGUUUUAGAGAUAUUCAGCUCCGUUCUGUAGAGCUGGAGGCAAUCCAAAAGGCACUGUGUUUUUCUCCCAAGGCAAAGCAGCCCAAGGGCACCGGGGAUGGAGAAGACCGCUGCUGAUCCCCCAGCUGUCUGCCCAUCCACGGCAGACUUUGCAGGAGCACGUAGCCUAAACAAAUGGAAUGAGGCGGGGGGAUUCACCAAAGCCCAGUUCUCAUCUGGUUUUGAACUGCUCUGAAAUGUUUAAUCGUGGCCUGUCGUCGGCGCAAGGCACCCCAUGACACAUCCAGGAAGAGGGCUGAAAUAUUUUUUAAGUCAUGGUUGUUAACAUCUAGCAACAAGAAUAAAAUUUUCUCUCCAUUUUAAAGCCCCGCACACCAGCCUUCCAGGAAAGACCUCCACCGGCAUCUGCUUCCGAUUAAACAUCUUUGGGUUCCAGCCCAAAAUAACUUCAAAGAUUUAUUGACUUCCAUGAUUUCUAAAUAGCUCCCAAAGAGGAGCGGAGAGCCCGGCUCCGGCACUGCUGGCCCGCUGGGAUGAGUCGGGGCUUCGUGCUCCUGGUCCUGCACGGAGCCAGGACCUGGAGCCAACGGUUCCCCUCUUGGAUGUCAACCUAAAACGCCUUCCACUGUGAAACAUCAGGAAUUUAGGAUGAGCACGAUCGCUGAGCAGAUCAGACACCAAACCGAUGGUCCUCGUUGCUCAACAUCCUACCCCAGCGGUGACCUCCCAGAAGUUCCCAUCCCUCAGAGCUUCGUGUCCUGAAACGGGAGGGCUGCGGCUCCUCCCUGCACUUGUUUCAGCCCUUGUUCUGUCUCUCUCCAGAUAAAGGCUGAGCAUCUGCUCGAGCCCUGUGAGUCCCUGGUGGCUGCGAGUGCCACAGUGUCCAGGAGCAGCUCUUCUGCUGAAACAGUCCUUCAAUUUAUUUAUUUUUAUUUUUAUUUUUUUGGUCAAAAUAAUGCUUUAGAAUUUUUGUAGAGAUAUUUUAAAAUUGGGAUUGUCCUUUACAAACACCCCAAUAGUGUAGAUUUUAAAUUUAAAACACAGGAUAUUUUUAUUUUAUUUUAUUUUAUUUUUCACGUUUUGCUUUUUGGCAAAAACCCAAGCUGAUUCUCUUACCAAAAGUGUGAGCUGAGAGAGGGCAAAGUUCCUUUGGCGAUCACGCCACGAGCCAUCGGGAAGAAGCUUACAAAAACAACAGCAGAGGAGCGAGCACAUCCCAACCAAAGGGCAGAUGCUCCACGGGCUCGUCCUCACCGCGGGCAGGGGCUCGCUGCCGGGCUGGCAGCCAGGAACAUCCAGCAAUGAGCUCUAAAAACAGCCCCCAGAGCAUCCUCCCUGCUGGGAUGAGCCUUGCUUGCACCUUCCCCUCUGCCCAAAAUAACCCUUCCCUCCUGGCCAUCCCUCUGCAGCCCUAGACAUUUGGAGGCUGGUGUGGGAACUGGUCCCAUAUGGACUCCAGUGGCUGUGAUGAGGUUGGAUUGGGAUGGUGCUGUUGCUCCCAGUUCCCAGCCCCGUGGGGAACUGCCCCAUUGAGCAGCAGGGAAAUCACCAAGUGAGCCCCAUAUGGCACGGAGCAGCCCCAGCACCGAUCCUCCUUGGCUAAGCCGGGUGAGAAGAUCUUUUAAGAUGCUGUGUUGACAGCUCAGGAUUGUCAGUUUGGGAGCACUAAAGCCAAGUCCAUGCUUUUCCUAGGGUCUUCAACACCCUUGUAGGGAAAAAGGAGAAAGUGAGAUGUGCUCCACCUCGAGGAGCCCCUGGAGGUGUCUGCCAAGAAGGGGACACGAGGGGAAGAUGCAAGCCGGGAGCUUGGCAGGGAGAUGUCCCGCAUCUGGCCCCGUGAGGCUGUAUGGGCUCUGCUCACUUCCCUUUUUUUCUCUCAAAGUGUCCACUUCAGGCAGAGAAAUUGCUGUGAAAAGAGCAAUCGGCUCUGUCCUUUGGCCACAGGCCUGGUGAGGAUCUGUGUCCUGGGUGGUGAUGGUGAGCUGAUGGGCAGAGCCUGGUGGAUUUCUUUUGUACACAGGAGAAGGGCAGAAGUUUGCAGCCUCUUAGGAGUUUUCUGUAGAGUUCUCCCCCCCCCCCCUUUUUUUUUCUUUUUUUUUUUUCUUUUUUUUUCUUUUUUAUUUUUUUUUCUGUUCAGGCUCUGUUCAAAGCAGGGUGUUCGUUUCUGCCUUGAAAGCAGAGGCUCCUUAGAGGGGCUUUUCUUUCUCUCAACCAAAUAUAGAUCUAUUAUAAAGCAUGGCUCUGCACUUUGCCAAGAGCUCCAUCUCUGUCGGGAUUUCAGGGGCUAUUUGGUGUCUCCAUUUCCUGGGAAUCUCUUUCCAAGAGCUUUGUGCUGGUCCUUCUUCCCUUCGCUGUGGGUCCAGAGGGAUGUUUUGGGGGGAAUUACUAUGUUUUUUCGUGAACAAGAGCUCUGCCGUGUCUCUGCUAGCCAGCAAAACUCUGCGAGAGGGGCAGGAGGAUGCUGCUGCUCCCCAUCUGCCUGCUGAGAGGGGCAGGGACUGCCAGUGCCGCUGCUCCCAGACAAAAAGGAGAUGGAAAAGGCUCAGUCCUCACGCCUCUUUUGUGGCCUGGGUAAUGUGAGUCAUGCCGAGUGCCUGCGGCACCCGAGGCUGCUUCCUGCUGUGCCCAGCUCCCCCAGCUCUGUGGCCGCCUCUUUGCCCAGCCAACGUGGCAAGGCAAUGCUUCUGCCUUGGGUUAAAAGGGGGAUGUGGAGGGGCACGUGGAGAAGGGCGAAGGACAGCCUCUGGCAGGGAAUGAGGAGCAGAACAAGCCCCUGGACCCUGCACGGCUCUGCACGGAGAGAAAGGAGCUGGACGGCUUCCAGUGCGCUGUGUGUGAAUUCCAGAGCCCACGUUUGCAGGGCAGCCUGCAGCCUCGACCAAAAAUAGGACAACUGGCUUCUCGGGAGCGUGUCAGGGGAGAGCUCGAAGCGAGUCCAGAGCUCCUGGCACCCCGCUCCCCCCGCCACAUCACGCCGUGCCACAAGCAGCUCGGCCACGCAGCGCAGCUGAAGGUUGGAGUAUCUGGGAGGACUGAGAGCAUUUGAGCAAGUUUCUGGAGUUAAAAGACUUGUCCUCGGGUUUUGGCUUCGGAUGACCUGCGCUCCUAAUGCACUCUUCACUUAAUUCUCCCCUGCCAGUGCAAACGCUCUUAUUUAUGAGGUUGGUAAUCACUUUCUAUCAACACGCUCUGGAAAUCUGCUCCUUCUGCAAAGCAUUCCUUCAAGUAAAUCCUUCCCCAUGAAUAUUCCCAGCCCAAGCCGAGUCCAAGGCCUGCUCAGGGCAUACGAGAGGGCUUUCAAAGGACUCCCACCGAGCGCGGUUGGCUCAGACCCAAGCGCACACAUCCACGCCCAUAGAGCUCUGUUACAAGUGGCCCCACGCUCACAAGAAGGAAACCAAACCUUCCCCAAAGUCCUUAGAGUUGUUUUGCCAUCCUUUUCCUGCACACAAGCCGUGGGCUUUUACCUCUCAGGAGGAACCCCAGGCAGCACACAUAGGAAGGCCCGUGCUAAUUUAAAAUCCUCCCUGAACACCGAGUUUGGUGUCUUUUUUCUUCCUUAAAUUAAAAGCCAGAAAAAAUAUCUAGAAAUGUCUGUGCAGAAGAAUCAAUUGCAUCACAAAGUAACGUUCUGGGCCACGAAAAGAGCCUGUGUUUUCAGCCUUGACAGUUUACCCAUCCCCAUUUUGGGAGGCAACACAGAUAGGUUUUCCAUUUGAAACAUCCCAGGGGCCAUGCAGCUCAUGCUGAGCCCUCAGAAGUCAACGAGCCACUUUCCACAGCAGUGGUCCCAGCAAUAAUUAGGACUUUUAUUUUAUUUUAUUAUUCAUUUAUUUAUUUAUGAGCUGCCAGGCUGGCACUUGGUUUAAGCCAUAGGAAAGCGGAGGCCCAGGGCACCCAUCAGGGCAGCACCAACAAACACAAGGCUGCACGUCUUUAAAUCUUUUGAUUUCUUUUAGAUUUCUGCUCCUUAUCUCUCAGCCCCUUCAUGGGCCAACUGGAGCUCUUUAUCGGUGCCAUUUACUCAACUGUCAAGUGGUUUUUUUUAUCCUAAAGCUCUGCAGUGGGGAAAUAGGAACCUGCAAUGAACUUGCUUUAAAUUGAAACAGAUAUUUAACUAGAAUAAACCAGUGGCCGGACUGAAUAAACACUGCAGGCACUUUAGAAAGAAUGUUAAGUUGACAUAAGAUCUGCUGGGUGAAUUCAAGAAACGGGAGAUUUUAUGCUGAAGUCAUAAAUCUGCCGGGUGAAAAGGGCGAUAGUGCUGAGCUCUGCAUCUUGCUGCCUCUCCAGGAGGGACGAGGGCAGGAUGUUUGCUGCCGCAGCCUGCGGAGCUGUUGGUACGGGCUGCAGGCUUCCUUCCCAGGGCAGCUGCUGCGAGCUGUGGGCUUCGUCUCCGCUGCUGCCUUCUGGCUCCCUGCAGGACAGGAGAGGGAUGUGUCUCCCCGGGGCUUGGCUCUCCGGCCCUUCCAAGCAGUCUUUUUUUCCAGCAGCUGGCCAAAGCAUGUCCCCUCCAGGCUCCCAGGUGUGAAUUGCCCAUGGGAUGAGCUCUGCAUGGGGCAGCUGGUGGUCCCCACAACUCCGAGAGCACGCUCCAAGGCACUGGGCAGUGUUUGGCCCCACGCUGGGCAGAGCAAAGUUGUGCACAGCAUCAAAAUCCAUUUAAUAUCCUCGCGAUGGGGUGUGCUCCUACCGUAGGGCUGGUGUCAGUCCGGCCGAGCAGCCUGCUGGGACUCAAUUUGUUACAGCAGCAGCUGGUCACCAAAAACAGGUUGGGAAGCAGCUUUUAUUUUUUUUUAUUUUUUAUUUAAAGAAAGCUGCUUUUAUUAAAGACAGGCUUCCAAAACCUGGGUAUCAGAGGAGACCACGGCACCAAUCUGCCCACGACGACUUCCCUAGGCUGGCAGCACCUCUGGCUUUGCUUGGCCAUGGAUGGCUUGGGGAGAGCAUCCAAAUCCCUGCCAAAGCUCCUGCUUUCGUGAUCCCAGCGCCGUGUGUCUGGGCGCAGGGCUGAUCCCAGCAGAACUCAUGCCACGUCCCUCUGUUUCUGCAGGAUGGACUGAGCAGUGGUCCAGGGGGUGAGAGCUUGCCCCAAGUCAGCCCGAGCUAAAGAGUCGCAGAUGUUUAAUACUUCUGCUCCCUGCUCCAAGGAGAGGAGCUGCAGAGAAUACAGCAAUAUUUUUUCAAUACAUUCCAUAUGUUUCCUCCAUAAGUCAAGAUUAAAAAGCGGUGCUGGUCCAAAUCAGAAUAAGCCUGCAGGCUGUUCUGCUGCUUUUGGAGGAAGAAGGAGCCUCAUCCUGAUUUGCCCUGCAGCAGAGAACGGCUCUGACCUGACUUGAGAAUAUGUUUCCAGAGGGACAAGUGGAGUUGUCAUUCAUGCUGUCCCUGCUCUCAGUGCUGCUACAGCUGUUACACGAAGCACUUGUCAGCCCUGAUCCCACACCGAAUUUUGGUACCUGACUUCUCACGGGAUAAAGGAGCUGGCACGAGGGCAGGAAAGAGAGAGCACCCCCAGUCUCCCAGGCAGAGUAGAGCCAUGGUCUCUUCUGACAUCUACUUUUUGGAAGCCUGUUUUUAAUAAAUGAAGUUUUCUUUAAAAAAAAAAAUAAAUCAGUGGCCACCUCAAGCCUCUGCUGCCCUCAGCUCAUAUGGCCGAGGUCCUGCAGCAGCUGCAGACACAACAGGGUGAAGCCCAUGAUCACCUCCCCCUUGCCCAGCUCUGGCCACACUCGGCCAAACACGAGUGCAAACGUGGCACUGUGAGCCCUUGGCCAUCAUGCGCCCGUGAGGGGCCGCAAAUUACUUGUUUCUGUUUCCUUAUUUUCCUUUUUCUGAUCUUCUGACCCCAGCAGCAGUGUUUCAGCCCUGCUGCCAUUGCCACUCUGCUUGCUGAGGUCCAAAUCCUGCAAAUGCCAUCACCGAGGAUGGCAGGUCCGGAGGGAGGAGGGAAGCCCAGCAGCCUCAAGGGAAGGGGUUUGCUCUCUCCUGAAGGGCACACUCCUCGGUAUAAUUGUGCCAGCCAAAUGUGCACAGAAGUCCUUGGUAAUUGCUAUGGUAAUCAUUUCACAUGUGUGGGAUUUUUUAGGCUAAAGCGUAAUUACAGCUAAUUGCUGUUUGAUUUUGUUCCUGUUUGUAUAGCCAUUAAAGGAAUCAUUGAAAUGUCUUUGCUAAAAGACUUUCCUCUUUCUUCUCCUCUUUUUCUAAAAUCAUCCUGGAAAAAAAAGAAAAAAAAAGAAAAAAGAGAUCAUGUUGCAACACUCAGAGUUCAUGAAUGGCCAUUAGCUGGCCAAAGCUCUCACAACAAAGAGCCACGUUAAGCCCGCAAGAGCCUGAUGUUUUCCCAGUGUUGGGAACUGACAGUACUUGAAUUUGCAGAACUAAUGAGAAUUUGCAAAGAUCUUGGCUGUUGGUUAAUGAAACCCUUCAGGGCAAAAGGCUGAGUCUGAAUUUAUGUGGGGAGAUGGGAGGAUCUGAGCUGCUUGCUGCAAGCACAAGCAAAGGUGCUUUCAGCCAGUUGUUUGGUGGCAGGGCAAGUUGCAUUUCUGCUGUGUGCUCCCCGUGAGAAGCUGGGAAGGAGAACACUGCCCAUUAAACCCCUCUGAUGUCCCUUGUUUUCAGAAGGAGACAGCAUUUUGGAGUCUUAUUUCCAGAUGCCCAACCGGUCCCUGCACAAGUAACCAAUUCUAUUUUUUUUCCCUUUCUCUCUCCUUACCCUGCCUUGAUUUUACAUUCUGCCCAUCUGCUGCAGCCUGUGGAGGGAGAACUGAGGCUGGUGGGGCUCCGUGCAGGUCCAGGGAUUCACUGGGAGCUUCUCCUGGCAUAGCUGGUGCCUUUAUCACGCCUGAUUAUUUUUUCCCAGCCCU